UACGAAGGGGGCUAGCGUUGCUCGGAAUUACUGGGCGUAAAGGGAGCGUAGGCGGAUAGUUUAGUCAGAGGUGAAAUCCCGGGGCUCAACCUCGGAACUGCCUUUGAUACUGGCUAUCUUGAGUAUGGGAGAGGUGUGUGGAACUCCGAGUGUAGAGGUGAAAUUCGUAGAUAUUCGGAAGAACACCAGUGGCGAAGGCGACACACUGGCCCAUUACUGACGCUGAGGCUCGAAAGCGUGGGGAGCAAACAGG
rnacentral:rRNA from 1 species